GAUGAACGUUAGCGGCAGGCCUAAUACAUGCAAGUCGAACGGGGCAGCAAUGCCCAGUGGCGCACGGGUGCGUAACGCGUAGGCAAUCCGCCUACUCCUGGGGGAUAGCCCGCCGAAAGGUGGAUUAAUACCGCAUAACACUGCAGGGUGGCAUCACCUAACAGUUAAAGAAUUUCGGGAGUAGAUGAGCCUGCGUGCCAUUAGCUAGUUGGUGCGGUAACGGCGCACCAAGGCGACGAGGGCUAGGGGAGCUGAGAGGCCGAUCCCCCACACGGGAACUGGGAUACGGGCCAGACUCCUCCGGGAGGCAGCAGUGGGAAAUAUGGGGAAAGGGGCGCGAGCCUGACCCAGCCAGGCCGCGUGACGGAUGAAGGCCUUCUGGGUUUUAACGUCUUUUGCCCGGGAAGAAAAAACUCUUGCGAGAGGAAUCGACGGUACCGGGUGAAUAAGCACCGGCUAACUCCGUGCCAGCCGCCGCGGUAACAC
rnacentral:rRNA from 1 species